UAAAUUACAGCAUCAAUUGUCAGCUGCCUCACAAACUGUCUUUUGUGGCUGACAUUCCCUUUCAUUUACAGCUUCUUUCACAGAAUCCCUUUGUUUGAAUUACUGCACAGCCACCUUUUCAAUCAUUUUCUCUACUCUGACAAGUUCACGUGUCCUCUGUGUAUCCCUCUUCUCAUCCUCUUCUUCUCCGUCGUUUCUGUCUGCCUCUGUUGAAGAUGAGAUGAUAGUGCUGGCAGUUUGCUCGUGAGAUGUGUGAGAGACUCGAUGCUGGCUAAAGGAAUAAGAGUGUGCGCUUGACAACAGGCCAACGAUAAUGAAGAGAUCCAGAGUGAGAGCCCUCAGUGGUGGUCCUCUGAACUCACUGGAGCUGGUGUGGAGAUGUGUGACCUGCUGAGGAGAGGAGAUCCUUUAAAAAGAAACCAAUUACCAUUACCCUGGUCAGCAUGCAGGUUCAGCUGCACAGCACAAGCUAUACAUGCAAAUGAUUAACAUAUUAAUAAAGCUUUUAUCAAGUAAAAUGCCUGCAAA